ACAGAGAUACAGAGCGUGCAUCAAUAAAUAAAACAGGACUGUCAUAUCCUGCCAAGACAGGGUAAGAUAGUUUUGAAAAGUUGCUUGCCUUUGAAAAUGGUAUGUCAGUUAUGUUAGGCCUUAGCCAAAGUUGGUUGCUUCAACGCUGCAAACAUGACUUUAGGUGAUUGCCCAGGUAGCUAGUUGUCUCUGUGAUUUGUUGCAUGUUUUGGAAGUUGUUUUACUGAACUUCCUAAUUACCCAGGUAACAUUAUUUCCCUUCUCAGAUCUUCGAUGGGGUUGAAGACUAUAUAAAUGUAGUUAAUUUUCUCUCACGACUUGGCCAAGUUAUUUAUUAUACAAGACCUAAGCUAGUUAGAAUAGGAUAUUUGUACUUAUUGUAUAUAAUUUCAUAGUAGGUUUAGAACUCUCUUACUUAAACAAAAGGGGGAGGUGUUGCGGGAGGUCCUUCUGCCCCUCCAACCAAUAGCUGCUGUGAUACCAGCUCAUUGGGGCGUGGUCUCUCUCCCUUUAAAAAAGUGGCUAUUUCCUCUGCUCGCUCUCUUCUCUUCCUGCUCCGCUGGAGACUAGACUCCCUUCCUGGUUGUGCAGAUGGCUGUUGUCUGGGAUUGUGAUCUGUAUCUUGGUCACCAGAGCUUAAGAUGAAUUCCAUCUUAAGGAGUGGACUGUAAAUGCAAUCAGAGAGAACAAUUUGGCUGCUGCACAUGGACCAUCUACCUAAUGAGAAAAUGAAAGGCACCAGCAGAGAGCAGGAACCAAACCCGAAAGAGGUUACUUCACAAAAUGUCUGAAGACAUGUAAUGGCUGGUGGAAAGAUGGGAGCCAGCAAGCCAGAGUCAUUGCUUUGAUGAAAUCUUUGUUUGUGAUGACCUAGAAAAUGUGGUCAACUAAAGGCAAGGUAGAGUGAAAAUAUGACCAUAGAGACAGACAAAGAAAAGGGAA